rnacentral:rRNA from 1 species
AGCGACUCAAUCGCUGGACCGCGAAAGAUACUGCCAGGCUAGGGGGCGGGAGAGGCCGAUGGUAUUCCCGGAGUAGGGGUGAAAUCCUAUAAUCCCGGGAGGACCACCAGUGGCGAAGGCGGUCGGCUAGAACGCGCUCGACGGUGAGGGACGAAAGCUGGGGGAGCGAACCGGAUUAGAUACCCGGGUAGUCCCAGCUGUAAACGAUGCGGGCUGGGUGUCGGGGCGGCCACGAGCCGCUUCGGUGCCGCAGGGAAGCCGUUAAGCCCGCCGCUUGGGAAGUACGGCCGCAAGGCUGAAACUUAAAGGAAUUGGCGGGGGAGCACCACAAGGCGUGAAGCUUGCGGUUCAAUUGGAGUCAACACCGGAAACCUUACCGGGGGCGACAGCAGAAUGAAGGCCAGAUUAAAGGUCUUGCCAGACAAGCUGAGAGGAGGUGCAUGGCCGUCGCCAGUUCGUGCCGUGAGGUGUCCUGUUAAGUCAGGCAACGAUCGAGACCCGCGCCCUUAGUUGCUACCGCGGAAAGUUUCCAAGGAGCAAGACUAGGGGGACUGCCAUCGAUGAGGUGGAGGAAGGAGCGGUCCACGGCAGGUCAGUAUGCCCCGAAUCUCCCGGGCCACACGCGAGCUGCAAUGGCAGGGACAGAGGGUCCACGACCCCGAGAGGGGAACGUCAUCCCUAAACCCUGCCUCAGUUGGGAUCGAGGGCUGAAACCCGCCCUCGUGAACAUGGAAUGCC